UCGUGGGGCAGCGCGGGUAGCAAUACCUGGCGGCGACCGGCAAACGGGUGCGGAACACGUACGCAACCUUCCUUUAAGCGGGGAAUAGCCCAGGGAAACUUGGAUUAAUACCCCAUAAAACAGUGGAGUGGCAUCACUUUACUAUUAAAGCUUCGGCACUUAAAGAUGGGCGUGCGGCUGAUUAGGUAGUUGGCGGGGUAACGGCCCACCAAGCCGACGAUCAGUAACUGGUGUGAGAGCACGACCAGUCACACGGGCACUGAGACACGGGCCCGACUCCUACGGGAGGCAGCAGUAAGGAAUAUUGGUCAAUGGACGCAAGUCUGAACCAGCCAUGCCGCGUGGAGGAUGAAGGCCCUCUGGGUUGUAAACUUCUUUUAUCAGGGAAGAAACCGGACUUUUCUAAGGCCGUUGACGGUACCUGGUGAAUAAGCACCGGCUAACUCCGUGCCAGCAGCCGCGGUAAUACGGAGGGUGCAAGCGUUAUCCGGAUUCACUGGGUUUAAAGGGUGCGUANGUGGGCAGGUAAGUCAGUGGUGAAGUCUCCGGGCUUAACCCGGAAACUGCCGUUGAUACUAUCUGUC
rnacentral:rRNA from 1 species